AAUAUUUAUAUCAAUCGAAAAUGUUGAAUAGAAGAUGGGCAGUCUGACACUUUCAUGGGAACACAGAAAGUGGCAUCCUUUUUUAUCACCAUAUAAAUCAAUGAGCGCUCUCAAUUUGAAACAGCAAGUUGUAACUUACCACUAAGAGCCUUACUUCAGAGCACCUUCUUGCAAGCUGCCGAAUCAGUGAAUGAGCCUCAGGUAAUAAAGGUUUUUCAAGACAAGCCAAUAAAGCAUAAAGCCACCUUCCCUAAAUAGGAUUUUAAAAAGUAGUAAGUAGCAAAUACUGUACCAUAAGUUUAAUUUAUUUUUUAAAAUGUCCAAAGUUGUAUCUGGUUAUUUGCUAUGAAUAAAUUAAUGUAACAUUAA